rnacentral:lncRNA from 1 species
UUCUGCCCGGGCGCUCGCAGCCGAGCGCGGCCGGGGAAGGGCUCUCCUCCCAGCGCCGAGCACUGGGCCCUGGCAGACGCCCCAAGAUUGUUGUGAGGAGUCUAGCCAGUUGGUGAGCGCUGUAAUCUGAACCAGCUGUGUCCAGACUGAGGCCCCAUUUGCAUUGUUUAACAUACUUAGAAAAUGAAGUGUUCAUUUUUAACAUUCCUCCUCCAAUUGGUUUAAUGCUGAAUUACUGAAGAGGGCUAAGCAAAACCAGGUGCUUGCGCUGAGGGCUCUGCAGUGGCUGGGAGGACCCCGGCGCUCUCCCCGUGUCCUCUCCACGACUCGCUCGGCCCCUCUGGAAUAAAACACCCGCGAGCCCCGAGGGCCCAGAGGAGGCCGACGUGCCCGAGCUCCUCCGGGGGUCCCGCCCGCGAGCUUUCUUCUCGCCUUCGCAUCUCCUCCUCGCGCGUCUUGGACAUGCCAGGAAUAAAAAGGAUACUCACUGUUACCAUUCUGGCUCUCUGUCUUCCAAGCCCUGGGAAUGCACAGCAACAGGAGAGAUGGACCCCUGUGUGUCAGCCCUGAAAUGUGGGCAGAUCCCUCCUGAAAACUCCGAGUGGCCUCUCUGUGUCUCUGGCUCAGGAAAGAAGUGAGAGAAGCCCUAUCUCUGAGCAGGCUGAGGGCUGCAGGCAGGCACAGUGCACGAAUGGCUUUGACCUGGAUCGCCAGUCAGGACAGUGUUUAG